rnacentral:rRNA from 1 species
UGAGGAACAUGACCUUCGGCGGGGGAUAGCCGGCCCAACGGCCGGGUAAUACCGCGUACGACCACAUGGGGACAUCCCCGAGUGGUGAAAGCAGCAAUGCGCCGAUGGAGUGCCUCGCGGCCUAUCAGCUUGUUGGUGAGGUAAUGGCUCACCAAGGCGACGACGGGUAGCCGGCCUGAGAGGGUGACCGGCCACACUGGGACUGAGACACGGCCCAGGCUCCUACGGGAGGNAGCG